AAAGAGUGCGUAAUAGCUCACUGGUCGAGUGAUCCUGCGCGGACAAUGUAACGGGGCUCAAGUACAGAGCCGAAGCUAUGGGCUUCUGAUUUAUCAGGAGCGGUAGAGGAGCGUCGAUAGGGCUGUGAAGCGGAUCCGUAAGGGUUUGUGGAGCGCUAUCGAGUGAGAAUGCAGGCAUGAGUAACGAGAGAGGGGUGAGAAACCCCUCCGCCGAAAGCCCAAGGGUUCCUGGGGAAGGCUAAUCCCCCCAGGGUAAGUCGGGAGCUAAGGCGAGGCCGAAAGGCGUAGUCGAUGCACAACUGGUUGAUAUUCCAGUACCUCCGUGCCCGCGCCAAGUCCAAUAGUUGCAACGUUGGGGCUGUUCAUCUUUAUGUUGAGCGAGCCGACCGAGCGGCUGGCGGAUAGUUGACGGGGGACGCAGGAAGAUAAGUGAACCCAGGCGAUGGUAGACCUGGGGUAAGCGUGUAGGCGGUUCCCGAUGAGAGUUGGGGGCGUAACGCUGAGACGUGAUGCCGAACGACAUACUGUGAAGUCACUGAUUCUAUGCUGCCAAGAAAAGCCCAGCAAUGAGCUGGCACGGAGCCCGUACCCCAUACCGACACAGGUGGGCGGGUAGAGAAUACUAAGGCGAGCGGGAGAACUAUGGUUAAGGAACUCGGCAAAUUACCUCCGUAACUUCGGAAGAAGGAGGACCUGCUUUGGUGACGAGAUUUACUCUCCGAGCUGAGGUGGGUGGCACAGACCAGGGGGUAGCGACUGUUUACCAAAAACACAGCAGGGUGCGAAGCCGUAAGGCGAUGUAUACCCUGUGACGCCUGCCCAAUGCUUGAAGGUCACGGGGAACGGUUAGUUCUUUAUUGAGCGAAGCUGUGAACCUAAGCCCAAGUGAAUGGCGGCCGUAACUAUAACGGUCCUAAGGUAGCGAAAUUCCUUGUCGGGUAAGUUCCGACCUGCACGAAUGGCGUAACGACUUCCCCACUGUCUCAACCAUAGACCCGGUGAAAUUGAAGUACGAGUAAAGAUGCUCGUUAGCUGCGGAAGGACGGAAAGACCCCGUGGACCUUUACUAUAACUUGGUGUUGAGUUUUGAAUUGCGUUGUGUAGGAUAGGUGGGAGACUGGGAAGCAUUAGCGCUAGCUAGUGUGGAGUCAUUGUUGAAAUACCACCCUGCGUACUUUGGAGCUCUAACCUCGGCCCGUUAUCCGGGUCAGGGACAGCGCCAGGCGGGUAGUUUGACUGGGGCGGUCGCCUCCUAAAGAGUAACGGA
rnacentral:rRNA from 1 species